UAAAUAAAAUCAUGACUCGAUGUGGAGAUGGUUCCACUUUUUUUUUUUUUCUGAGUAGUCAGCUUCUGGAAAAUUUUCCUACUCUUUAAAGUUUAGUGAUAAAUGCUAGAUUGCUUUAAUUGCACAAAGCAGAAGUUUGGCAUCUUGAUUUAUUUUUGCACGCAGCUCCAACCACUGAGAAAUUAGGUUAACUGGGUCAGCAGAUGUAUUGAUGAAUGAUAUCUCUGGGUGAAACGCUUUUCCUUUUUUUUUUUUCCCCUCUCCUUUCAUUAACCUUUACAGGGUAAAGACCUACUUUUUCUGCAGUGUGAUUGCAUUAUGGCCGCUUAUGUAACUUGUUUUUAUCCUCUCUCUUUCCCACAAUAACUUUCAAGGUUGUGAACCAGUUUUAUCCAAACUUGACAGGUAAACUUCUUGAGGGUGAUUAACUUCUGUGCAUGUUUUCUGAGCAUUUACAAAUGGGUGACAAGUGGUACUGUCAGAGUGUUUCCUGAUAAGAUGUCCUGAUCAGGACAUAUAUUAUAUAUCAUAGAUUGUCUUCACGCUGCUGAACAGAUUUGCAAAAUGAAGAUAACUACUUCUCUUUCCCACAAGCAGCAUAUUGUGACUUCCUUUAUUUGACCAUUAAGCCUUUUGUUGUGCUUCUAGAAAUUUCCUCAAGAGGACACGUUCAGGACAGAUGCUUCUUAAUGAGCGAUGUUGAUCUGUGGUACAGCUGCUACAAUGAAGAUCUCUCUUAUCAGCAAGCAGCCAUACCUCACAAAUAGUCUUUUUCUUUCACUAGUUUAAUUAUAGAUUUCCCCCUGAAUCCCAUAUCCCUUUCCUUCCACCUUAUCAGUGCUUUGAAAUUUCUUUUUCCUUUAUUCAUCUUUUUUUCUUUUUUUUUUUUCUUUUUUUUUAGAGGUCUUUAAAAAUGUGUAGAUGUAGAGCAUAGUGACGUGGAUUAAUGGUGGGCAUGGCAGUGCCAGGUUAAAGGCUACCAGAUGAUCUUAGAGGCCUUUUCCAACCUAACUGAUUCUAUGAUACUGUGAUCUUUCAUCCUGCAUCUUGCUGGACUUCUUCUCUUGCCCCUUCCCUUCAAAAGGACUAGUCUCAGUGGCUGGGAAGGGUAACUCUGCUGGGUUCACCGCUGUGGAACCCUGGCUAGAAAAAUUCAGAGCAUCACUGGCAAGAAAGGAAAGAUGUUUCGAUGCUAGGGAUGUGCUUGGAGAUGAGGCUCAGAGAUGACGCGGAACGGAGGCUUGCUGAUUCAUAAUGAAAGGCAGAGCCAGGGAAAUCCUGGGGAGUUGCAAGGCUGCAGAAAAGCCUCGGCAUCAGUGAGCUGAAUAAACAAAUUUGUUUGUUUAUUGCUUUUUUUAAUUGGGGUUGGGAGAGUGUGGGUAAAGAUGAAGGGGGAGGAUCCUCCUUUUUGGAAGGCCACAGAGUCUGGUGCUGCUCUUGGUGUGCUCUCUGAUGCUCGGCUGUCGCACACAUUUGAAAUUCAGAAGCUGAAGGAACAAACUGGGUGCAGGAAGCUGCCAUUUUUCAAAACCAGCACUGGGGUGGGACAAGCAAGCAGUUGCUUGCUCUGCUCUGUACCAAAAUUCAAAGGUGACUUGUUAAAUUUGACGUCUGGUGGUAGCUUUAGGUAACAGUAGCUGCAAGUUAGUGAUGGAUGCUCGUAUCAGUGUGAUCGUUUAAGUACAGGAGGGUCACUUGGAACCAGUUUUAUGGCACUGCUUACCAUGUGGCCCCUCGGAAGUCUGGGGGAAUCUGUGAAUUAUGACCUAAUACAGGAGAGGAGGCCAAACUCUUCAAUAACACUGCAUCUGAUGAGUCAAUACAGGCGUGCUGAUGGGCAGUCAGCGUGUGUGAAGCUUUGGACGAGCCACAGAAUUCAUCUUCUUGGUUCAAACAGUAUGGUGACGUUAGAGAAGGCAGGGUUAUUGUGUAUAUAAGAGGAGUAGAACCUAAAUCCACAAGAAGCCAUGGCAUCAUUAAUUUCGUUGCUCAUGGAAAGGAAAAUGCUGUGGGUUUUAAAUUUUGCAAACCAUAGGGAAUUUCCUUUGGCAUUUGGAGCUGUGAUUGUGCAGCCAGGUUUGGAAAUAGCGUAAGCAAUAGCAAAGCGGUUGGAGGUCAGAAGGCUGGUGAAGCAUCGUCGUCAUGGAGUUGUAUCCGCCAGCAAAUAUCGGUCUGUGGCUAUCUUUCGUUUUGUUUGUUUGCCUCGUCCUCUUUCUCCUGAUUGCUUGUUCAGAUUGGUUUGGUUUGGAAUCUCUUUGUGGCUGUUACAAAAAGCCAGACUAUGUUACAGGGCGUGUUAAGAUCAUUGAAAGUUAUCAAUGCACGAGUAUGAAUGGAACACAAAAAUACAGGGAACGUGUCAAGUUUAGGUUGGAAAGCUGAAUGAAUCUAAAUUUAUAUCUUGCAGGCAUUUAUUUGAAGAAGAAAAAUUCGGUUUCUUAUUAAUAUAUAUAGUCACUUGUGCUGUGUAUAUGGGAUGCACAACAACAGAAAAUAACAUUAGGCUUUCUUUAUCCCCUUACGUAUCCAUGCUAACUCAUCCUGUUCACUCACUAAAAGCCAUCACUUAACCUUGUUUUGGCAGCAGUGCCCAUUCCCAGCGCUUUCGUCCACAUAGAUAUAAAAACAGGGGCUCCCCUGCCCCACAAACAGCUGGCACGUGGACAUUUGACAAUAAAAUCCCAUACCUGGAGCUGCGGGGAACUGCUGUUCCACCAGCGGAGAGGAACGUGAAAUAUUCUCAACAGCGGGCUUUUUGUCUGAAUGAUGAGCGGCUUUGUGAAUCUUGUUGGGAGCUAGGGCAAUCCAGAGCUGGAAUUGGGGAAAAUUGACUUUGCAGUGCCACGGAUAGCGUGCAGUCACAGCUGGAGAGCCUUCCUAAAGGUGAUGGCAGUAGAUGGACUGAGCAUCAAAAUUCGCUGUUUGUGUAGCCUUGUCGAUACAGAGAGUCCUAGUACGGAGAGCUGCCCUGUGCAAUAGUCUAACUAAUCCUUUGCAAUUAGUGGUGGCUUCUAAAUAUAAAACUAAAGAAUUGUUUUAGUUUAGAAACCUUUUUGACUGUUACACAGAAAUAACUGGUAGUGCUCUGUCCCAGGUACAGGUAGAAGUCGCUUACUGAAGUAUGCACAGUGAAAUAAUUUUUUUAAUAGCAGGUGUUUUGUUUUCCCCAGCCUGCCCAAGUGAGAAUUCAGGUGAGGCCGCCUAUCACAGCUUCUAUAUCACGGACUUGAUUGCAUCUUAUUACUUCUAUGAAGUCCGUAUUAAUUCAGUGUUGGGAUUCUCUGCUGAAGUUACAGCAGUAGUGGGAUACUGAGAAGAUGAUGUUCCAAAUAUAAUAUAACUAACUUUGCUUUCUUAUUUCUAGCUCGUGUACCAGCUUAUUGCUAACUUAAAUUAGUAUAAAUUGAUUGAUAUCCACAUUUACAUUGUAAAAUAGAUACUGUAAUAUAUGCAAGAGCGCCUUCGGAAAGUAAAAUAUUAAAUAAUUUUAAAUUAUGCACAC